rnacentral:rRNA from 1 species
GACAGAGGGUGCAAACGUUGUUCGGAAUUACUGGGCGUAAAGCGCGUGUAGGCGGCCAGAAAAGUCCGCUGUGAAAACUCGAGGCUCAACUUCGAGCUGUCGGUGGAAACUUUCUGGCUAGAGUCCGGAAGAGGAGAAUGGAAUUCCUGGUGUAGCGGUGAAAUGCGCAGAUAUCAGGAAGAACACCCGUGGCGAAGGCGGUUCUCUGGGACGGUACUGACGCUGAGACGCGAAAGCGUGGGGAGCGAACAGG